rnacentral:rRNA from 1 species
CAGUCGAACGAGGUAAAUGAGUUGAAGUUUUCGGAUGGAUUCUUAUUUACCGAGUGGCGGACGGGUGAGUAACGCGUGGGUAACCUGCCUCAUACAGGGGGAUAACGAUUGGAAACGAUUGCUAAUACCGCAUAAGCGCACAGUACCGCAUGGUGCAGUGUGGAAAACUCCGGUGGUAUGAGAUGGACCCGCGUCUGAUUAGCUAGUUGGUGAGGUAACGGCCCACCAAGGCAACGAUCAGUAGCCGACCUGAGAGGGUGACCGGCCACAUUGGGACUGAGACACGGCCCAGACUCCUACGGGAGGCAGCAGUGGGGGAUAUUGCACAAUGGAGGAAACUCUGAUGCAGCGACGCCGCGUGAGUGAAGAAGUAUUUCGGUAUGUAAAGCUCUAUCAGCAGGGAAGAAAAUGACGGUACCUGACUAAGAAGCCCCGGCUAACUACGUGCCAGCAGCCGCGGUAAUACGUAGGGGGCAAGCGUUAUCCGGAUUUACUGGGUGUAAAGGGAGCGUAGACGGCGAUGCAAGUCUGAAGUGAAAUACCCGGGCUCAACCUGGGAACUGCUUUGGAAACUGUAUGGCUAGAGUGCUGGAGAGGUAAGCGGAAUUCCUAGUGUAGCGGUGAAAUGCGUAGAUAUUAGGAGGAACACCAGUGGCGAAGGCGCCUUUCUGGACUGUGUCUGACGCUGAGAUGCGAAAGCCAGGGUAGCAAACGGGAUUAGAUACCCCGGUAGUC